rnacentral:rRNA from 1 species
GAUGAACGCUGGCGGCGUGCUUAAUACAUGCAAGUCGAGCGGUAACAUGGACUUCGGUCUGAUGACGAGCGGCGGACGGCUGAGUAACACGUAGGAACGUACCCCAAACUGAGGGAUAAGCACCAGAAAUGGUGUCUAAUACCGCAUGUGCUCUACGGAGUAAAGCUACGGCGGUUUGGGAACGGCCUGCGUAUGAUUAGCUUGUUGGUGAGGUAAUAGCUCACCAAGGCGACGAUCAUUAGCUGGUCUGAGAGGAUGAUCAGCCAGACUGGGACUGAGACACGGCCCAGACUCCUACGGGAGGCAGCAGUAGGGAAUUUUCCGCAAUGGGCGAAAGCCUGACGGAGCAACGCCGCGUGCAGGAUGAAGGCCUUCGGGUUGUAAACUGCUUUUAUCUGUGAAGAUUAUGACGGUAGCAGAUGAAUAAGGAUCGGCUAACUCCGUGCCAGCAGCCGCCGCCG